rnacentral:rRNA from 1 species
GUAGGGGGCAAGCGUUAUCCGGAUUUACUGGGUGUAAAGGGAGCGUAGACGGCUGUGCAAGUCUGAAGUGAAAGGCAUGGGCUCAACCUGUGGACUGCUUUGGAAGCUGUGCAGCUAGAGUGUCGGAGAGGUAAGUGGAAUUCCUAGUGUAGCGGUGAAAUGCGUAGAUAUUAGGAGGAACACCAGUGGCGAAGGCGGCUUACUGGACGAUGACUGACGUUGAGGCUCGAAAGCGUGGGGAGCAAACAGGAUUAGAUACCCUGGUAGUCCACGCCGUAAACGAUGACUGCUAGGUGUCGGGUAGCAAAGCUAUUCGGUGCCGCAGCUAACGCAAUAAGCAGUCCACCUGAGGAGUACGUUCGCAAGAAUG